AACGCGAAGAACCUUACCAGGUCUUGACAUCCCCUGACAACCCUAGGGAUAGGGCGUUCCCCUUUCGGGGACAGGGUGACAGGUGGUGCAUGGUUGUCGUCAGCUCGUGUCGUGAGAUGUUGGGUUAAGUCCCGCAACGAGCGCAACCCUUGACCUUAGUUGCCAGCAUUCAGUUGGGCACUCUAAGGUGACUGCCGGCUAAAAGUCGGAGGAAGGUGGGGAUGACGUCAAAUCAUCAUGCCCCUUAUGACCUGGGCUACACACGUGCUACAAUGGGUGGUACAAAGGGCAGCGAAACCGCGAGGUGGAGCGAAUCCCAAAAAACCACUCUCAGUUCGGAUUGCAGGCUGCAACUCGCCUGCAUGAAGCCGGAAUCGCUAGUAAUCGCGGAUCAGCAUGCCGCGGUGAAUACGUUCCCGGGUCUUGUACACACCG
rnacentral:rRNA from 1 species